rnacentral:rRNA from 1 species
GGUUAAGCGACUAAGCGUACACGGUGGAUGCCUAGGCAAUCAGAGGCGAUGAAGGACGUGCUAAUCUGCGAUAAGCGUCGGUAAGGUGAUAUGAACCGUUACAACCGACGAUUUCCGAAUGGGGAAACCCAGUGCAAUUCGUUGCACUAUCGUUUGAUGAAUACAUAGUCAAACGAAGCGAACCGGGGGAACUGAAACAUCUCAGUACCCCGAGGAAAAGAAAUCAACCGAGAUUCCCCUAGUAGCGGCGAGCGAACGGGGAGCAGCCCAGAGUCUUAAUCAGCAUUAGCAUCAGGAGAAC